rnacentral:lncRNA from 1 species
UCACUUCCAUGCCCUCAACUAUAAUCCCACCUUUUAGUUGAUACCCUUUCACCUCCUUCAAGCUCAUUUUCACCUCAUCAUCAUCACACACACCAUUAAAGAAUUUUCCAAGCUCGAUUUCCACCCACCCAUCUUCUUUUUCACAUGGGAUUUGUUCAUUUUCGCCGCCUUUAUGUGUCAACUUUGAUGUCACCAUCAUUUCCAUGCCAUCCACUAGCACUGAUGAAUCACUUUUUUGCUUGCUGCCCAAAUAAGCCUUGCCUUUGGACGCCUGACGACCACCAAUUUCAAUUGAAAUUUCAGCGGCUUCUGAAUCAAGCCCUUAUGCUCUAUCACUUAUUUUCAUUAUAAGAUAAGCUCCAUACAUUGUGUUUUGUGACAGCAUUUUGGUCUUGAUCUUGCCUUCAAUUUCCAGCCAAUUUGAUGUUCUCAGCACCGCAACUUCUGAAAAUCUACAAUAAUAAAAAAAUAAUUAAUUAUCAUAUAAAAUGUGCGUUUACUUAGCAAGUUUAUAUAUCGUUUUUUUUUUAGAAAAAAAAAAAAAAAAAAGAGACCAACCUUGAUUCCUGCAUGGACACCCAGCUCCAAUAAAUUGGAUUGCUACUCCAUGUUAUACUAAGAGCUCUUGCAGACAAAAUAUAAGAAUUUUUGCCUGAUGAUUUCUCUAACUUGAAGCUCUACACAUGUUGACAAAGAAACAUAAUUGAACAUUUUAUAACUGAUUUUCUUCAAAGCAGGCGUCUGUAUUUUAUAAACUUAGCAAGCUUAAUUAGCACUAAGACUGCAUGCAAACGUUCGUACCAGAGAAGGGAAUGAUUGGAGGAAAAAGUAAUAAAGUACGUACGAUCUUGCCGGCAUCAAUGAGAAAAGGGUGGCAAAGGAGAGCGAAGAGCUCCUUCUUGGAGGAAAAUGCGAGGGGAGAGACUGAUUUGGAGACGAUCUCGAGCCAAUCUGAGGGCAAGAACUUGUCCCAGAUAAUGUCGGAGUCCAUGGCCGAUCGAAACGAAGAAGAAACAAGCGAUGAUCUGCAUGCAUCUAACGGACAAGUGAGGGAGAAAACAGUCGCAACACACUCUUCUGGCAGCACGUUGAAGUAGCAAUUGGUAUCGAAAUUGGCUUCCAUUGUUUUUCAGAAAUACGUAUAGCUUUAAUUCUUUGUUCAUCAGAGUCCCUGAAACCUACUGAUAUCUUUACGCUUGGUUUUGAUUUUUGUCUUUGUUUUAAGGUUGCUUUCAGGGCGGGCAUAAUGUUGUAUAAUUGUCCAAAGAGAGAUACGUAAUUCAUCAAAUAAAUGCGUUGAAAUAAUUGCGAUAAAGAAGUGUACACGUUAGCUGGUAGGGAAUGCAGUAGAAUAUAUUAAUAUAAUUAAUUAAUUACUAAAGACAGAAUUAAAUGCGCAUUAUAAUAUUUAUCUAAUCCACUUAUAAUAUAUAUUUUAAAAUUUAAAAUUUUUAAUGUUAAUUUAUAAAGCUUAACAAUCAUGCUUAUUUUGCAUUCUCAUUAACUUUUGAUAGAUUUAUAUGCGUCCGGAUGCCCAGAUUUUUUUUAAAAUUUAGAUUUGUUAAGCUGAAUGGCUUAAUAGAGUCAUUUUUCAAUGUAAUAUAAAGUCGUACUAUUUAAUAGCACUAAAUCUGAUUCUAUUAAAUCGCACGAUUUAACAGCGUGUCUACAUAGAAAAAAAAAAACAAGAGAGUGCUAGCACCAAAGAAUGAUUGUAUAUAUUUCAAUAUUUGUGCAUCUCUCUCUCUCUCUCUCUCUCUCUCUCUAUCUCUCUCUCUCUAUAUAUAUAUAUAUAAAUCAUUCUCAAGUGCGAGCAGUCUCAUUGUUUUUUAAUUCAGACACUCUAUUAAGCUAUUUGAUUGAAUAGAGUUAAUUUUUAAUAAAUUAUAAGAUGUACAAUUUAAUAGCAUUAAAAAUUUAACUCUAUUGAACCGCAAAGCUUAAUAGUGCGUUCGCAUGAGGAAAAAAAUGAGGGUCUCCCCCCAAACACAAACAAUUCUUCUUUAGUGUAAGCUCCCUCAUUUUUUUCACACGGACAUAUUGUUAAACUAGACAGUUUAAUAAAGUCAAUAAAUAACACUAUUAAAAUAACACUAUUGAACCGCACAAUUUUAUAGUGCAUAAGAAUUUAAUGUUUAUUGAUUGAGAUUUUUCAUUCCUAUCCAAACUUUAAUAAAUACAUUUAAAAAAAAAAAGGAUCAACAUUUCAUGCAUGUUAUACAUAUGAUUGAAUUGGAGUUUAAUGAUAAUAAUAUGAUCGUUCAAUGUAUUUUUGACAACAAUGUGGAAACUGCUUUCACUAGAAGGAGUUGAAGUAUUUUUAUCAUUUAUUUUAUAUUGGUACCAACCAAUAACGACAGGAGUUGAGAAUAAACAAUCAUAUAUAAUAAAUAGGCUUAUAAGAACACAUUCACUGGGAAAGUGCUUUCUAGCUGCUGCAAAAUGUGAUUUUAAUACGGCACAAGACUGCCAAGUGCUUACAGCGAACCACUGUUCACAAAGACGCCCAAACUCGUUUGACGAUGCUCAUACAAUCCAUGGCCUCUGCCUCUCUUUCCGUAUCUCUCGGAUUACGCCACGAAGCAGCCAGUUAUGCCUUAAAGCAGGAUUUGCUUUAGCUUCUUCCGUGGCUCCAAUUAUUGUCCGCUAUUGCUGGACUUAAUUAUAUAACUGGCCCAUUAAGGAAGAAUUACUUUUAAAUUGACAAAAACCCCAUUUCGAUGCUCUGUAGAAACACAAGCAAUCACAGUUCCCUAGCUAAAACAGUGUAAUAGAAGAUAAUUGUGAACCAUUUAUUAUAAAAUUUAAUCAGAAUUAACGGGUUCGUUAAAUUUAGUUUUUGAACUAAAACAUCCAUCUUUCUUCUAAUGACAUAUUAAAAUGUAUGCUUCUGCUGUUUCAAUUUUCUUCACAUGUAACACAAAAUUAUUUGUUAACCGACCAAUAACUGACCCAAAAUUCAAAUUAUACAAGAGUUUGCUACUUUCAAAGGAGAAAAAAAAAAAAGCAACUUAGUUCAGAAGUUGGCAAUGUGGAAUGGAUGACCUAAUUAAUGAUAAAGCACUAACUUGUUCCUCGUCGAGGCUCCGUGCAUUGAGAAAUUCUAAAAUACCUUUAAUGUAUUAUAACUAAUUGAUGCAUGCAUUACAUGUGUAAUUGAAUUUAAUAUAACUACCACUUGUAUGAUAAUUUUUUAAAAUAAAUACAUACAUGUCAUAGUAUUAUUUAGUUGUCACAUGGCUGACAUAAUACCUCUGAUAUAUUCUAAAUUUUCUCUCGUGCAUUAGGAAAUGGCAUGAUGAACCGUUCCAUUCACCAUGCACUUAAGAUAAUAUUAGAAAUUAAUAACAAUUUGCACAACUUUCAUUUGUGAAACGGAUUCACACUCUAAUUAUUCUAAUUGACGACGAUUAGAUAAUUUGGCCAGUUUUGGUGUCUACCAAUACAGUGGUUCGACUUAACAACACUGAUCAUUGACCCGUCAAAUUUAAAUCUUAUAAUGUUUAAAAUCAACAAUAUUAAGUCGGUUUUAUAGAAUUGGAAUGUAAAAUUUAUAUUCGGAUCGAACAUUCUAGUAAUAAUUAUAUGUUAAGUAGUUGUUAACUAUUUAUGUCAUCAAUAAUGUGAUAAUUAUGUUGUAGUAAUUGAUAAGAAGCGAGUCAAGUGCUAUCAUACAAGGAGAACGUAUUUUAUAUAUAAUUUAAUUGGUCGUAAAAUUGAAUUAUAAUGUACAUGUCCUUAAGGUGUUUAUUUGACAAUGUACCCCUAAUUGACAUACAUGAGUUAGGAUCAAGGAGAAAUAAACGAAAAGAGUAUGAUGACUAAAAUCUAAAGUAACCGGGUAUAUUGUGAAUGGUACUUUUCACUUGCCAAUAAUUCGGCUUUGAGUAUAAUAUAUAUUUACUGGAUGAGAGAUAACUAUGGCCCAAAUCAUUCACACAUAUUGAUGUUGGAUAGAGAAAUUGAAUUGGGUAUUGAUCGAUCGAUUUCCAUAACUGAUAACUAAUGGUUGGUUAAAUAGUUUUGAUCAAUGAUCGAUUGUAUGAUUAUGAAUUACGAGAGAAGACCUUGUUACCUUACGUGAUGAGGUAACCACAACUCUUUUAUGAUUGUUCAGUACAUCUCCAACCGUUUGAUUAAAUCUAUUGGUUUCAAUUCUAUAACGUUUAUGACCUUAUCAUAUAAAGUAACAAAGUCCUUUAUAUAUUUAUCGUGCAAUUUAUUUAAUUAGUCAAAUUGUCUAAUUCAUUUCUAUCAAAAAAAUUAGGUUUGCACAACGACAAUCUUCUACAUAUUUUCCAUAAAAGUAGUAUUCUUACUUAUUUCGAUGAUCCUCGAUACAAAAGAAAGAAUUCUGGAAUUACUAAAUGGAGGACCAUGGGAGUGCAUUCAAAAAAUAAAAAGUACUCUUUUUAUAUUUUUAUCGUGUAAUUUAUUUAAUUGGCCAAUUUAUCUAAUCCAUCUCUAUCAAAAAAUUAGGUUCGUACAACGACAAUUUUUUAUGUAUUUUUCAUAAAAAUAAUAUUCUUACUUAUUUUGAUGAUUCUCGAUACAGAAGAAAGAGUUCUAAAAUUAUUAAAUAGAGGACCAUGGGAGCACAUUCAAUCGCUAAAAAAGAGAACUUGAUUGAGACUAAACAAUUUUUAAAAAUGGAUCUAUGUUCAAAAAGUAAUUUAGGAACAUAAUAGAUCCGAAAUAGACAUUAAUUUGAUGUGAUCCAGUCCAUUCAUCUUCACAAAUACAACAGCAAUAAAUCAUAUUUAGUUAUAGAUUUUAAGCUGGGUGUAUAGCUCGCAGUGAAUAAAUAUGCAUUACAGUUUUAACUUUUACGUAUUCAAUCACUUAAGAGUUCAAAUAAUUAUAGAGAUAAAGAGUCCAUAUUUUAUUUUAGUGGGUAAAAUUUAUUGUUCCCAUCCGAACUUUGACAAUUAAAACAAAAAUAUAUAUAUAUUCAUGAUGUUUUAUAAAUUUAUACUACGAAAAUCUAUAUCAGUAAAUUUAUUUGUUUGGUGUAACAAUUAAGUUGUACCAAAAUAAAGAUGGAAUUCUCACAUUUAACAUGAAAAAAUUCAUUAACAUUACAAGAUCAACUCGUCGAAAUAAUGUGUUCAAUUUUGGUGUCUUCGAACAAAUUAUAAGACAAUUUUUUUUUACCUGCUAGCACAAGUUAGAUUCAAACAUAUUAUGGUUAAGGUACAUACAGAUUUUUUUUUUUUUUUAAACUGAUUAAGCAUCAGGUUACUGUAUUACACAGAGAUACUUAUAAAUAACAACAUAUCAUUGCACUGAUAUUUACAAUCAGAUAUAUACCUGGGAUUUACAUUAUUACAUUUUUAUUCUAUGAAGUACAUGCCCAGCCAAAUACCCCUCAAGGAAGAGGGAUGUCUUGACUCCAAAUGACAACAUAUCAUUGCACUGAUAUUUACAAUCAGAUAUAUACCUGGGAUUUACAUUAUUACAUUUUUAUUCUAUGAAGUACAUGCCCAGCCAAAUACCCCUCAAGGAAGAGGGAUGUCUUGACUCCAAAUGACAACAUAUCAUUGCACUGAUAUUUACAAUCAGAUAUAUACCUGGGAUUUACAUUAUUACAUUUUUAUUCUAUGAAGUACAUGCCCAGCCAAAUACCCCUCAAGGAAGAGGGAUGUCUUGACUCCAAAUGACAACAUAUCAUUGCACUGAUAUUUACAAUCAGAUAUAUACCUGGGAUUUACAUUAUUACAUUUUUAUUCUAUGAAGUACAUGCCCAGCCAAAUACCCCUCAAGGAAGAGGGAUGUCUUGACUCCAAAUGACAACAUAUCAUUGCACUGAUAUUUACAAUCAGAUAUAUACCUGGGAUUUACAUUAUUACAUUUUUAUUCUAUGAAGUACAUGCCCAGCCAAAUACCCCUCAAGGAAGAGGGAUGUCUUGACUCCACUCGCAUUUCGCAAGGGAGAAAGACGUUAUAAACAAUCUCCACACAAUUAUAACUAAUUGAGGAAGUUUGAGUUCGUGGAGACUCGAACCAUUGCCCUCAUAGUCAUGCUUGACUUUAAGGGCAAUGGUUCACCACCGGGCCACAAGCCCAAGUGGCAGGUACAUACAGAUUCAAUUAAAUGUUAAAGUCGGCAAACAAUUACUGGGCUCCACUGAGAAUAUAAUUAAUUAAUCGACUAAAGCAAUUGGGUAGUUAACAUAGAAUUUGACAAAUUAACAAAAACAUCCCUUGAAGUUUGGAAAAACUAAAGGCUCAGUAAAAGAAAAAAUUAUGGUACCUUACGCUUAUAUAAAAAAGGGAAAUUAUCUACCGUCCACCCGUUUUUUAACUUUUUUAAAAAAACAUAAUUCUUUUUUUUUUGCUGGAAUCCACCUGAAGUUAUAUUUUUUUUUUUCACUUUUCCACUUCCGUUUGGAAUCCAUUAAGGAAAUUAACGGAAUAUUGCUUAAAUGACUUUUUUACCCUCAAAUGUAAAAGAUAAUUUAUCCAUCGACCACCUAUUUUUUUCGUAUUUUUCAGAAAUACACAAUUUUUUAAUUUUUUUUUGUUGACCUCCACUCGAAGUUGUAUUGUUUUACACCUAUCCACCACUGUGUCGUUGUGAAAUGACGAUUUUACCCUUAUGAUGUUAGCAAAGUUAUAACGGUCUCCAAACGGAAGUGGAAAAGUGAAAAGAAAUGUAAUUUCAGGUGGAUUCCAGCAAAAAAAAAAAUUGUGUAUUUUUAAAAAAACAAUGAAAAAAGGGGUGAAUGGUGGAUAAUUUCCCUAUGAAAAAUAUUAUUUGCAUGAGUUGUUUGGGGAAAAGGCGAUUUUUGUGAUGUGAGUUUUUGGGAAAAAGGAGAUUUUUGUGAUGUGAGCUGUGUUUUGUUUGAAAUUGGGUUGAUGAGAAAGAAUAGUUUAUGAUAAGUUAAAAGCUCAUUUAAUCCGUAUAUUUUUUAAUUAAUUAGUCUCUAUAUUUUUUAAAAUACCUCUAAACAUCUACAUCGUUAAAUUAUUUACACUAUUGUUAUUAUUUUUUGUUCUUUUUUUACUUACUUUUUCAAGAUUAUUUUCUUACAAUAAUAUUUCUUUUUCUGGAAACAAUAAGGAGAGAAAAUUAAUGUAAAAAAAUAAAAUUAAUGUAAAAUACCUCUAAACAUAUUUUUAUUUGUAUUUUUAUUUUUGGGGUUAAAUUGAUAAUUUAAUUUUUGUUAUUAAUGUAAAAAAAGAAAUAUUAUUGUAAGAGAGUAAUAUUUUAAAAAUAAGUAAAAAAAACAAAAAAAAUAACAGCAAAGGUAUUAAUAAUUUCACAAUAAAAAUAAUUUAAGAUAUUUUUAAAAAUACAUAAAGUAAACAGACACCAAUCUCGUAAUAUAGAAGUUAAAUAAACUUGUAUUCUUUACUAUACCCGAACGGUAAAAGUACUGGGCACCAUUUUCAAAAUCAGAGGACUCGGCGUGAAAAUAUGUUUUCGUAACUUGGUUUCCCAUCGGGCAGGGGGUGGCUAAUUAAAACCCCAAAGGUUAGUUUUGGGCUGGACUUGCAAUCUGUUCCCAAUUGUAUUUACAUGAGUGAAGCUUUUGACACCCCUAUAAAAUCCUUAUAACACCCCUUUAGAUUUUUAUUUCUUAAAAUAUCCCUCUUCAAGUUACAAAGUACUAAUCAUAUAUUAAAAACAACCAUCUUUUCGUAAAUUUUUUCUCAAAGAAAAAGCAUUUCUUUUAAGUUUUUAUUUUAAAAUAUAUAAAAAUCUUAAAUUAUUUUUUUUCUUAUUGUAUAGUGUCUACCUCCAUAAUCCCAAACUUUUAUAUAUUUUUUAAAAAAAAUUGUAAUUAAAAUUUAAUAUAUAAAUAUAAAUACAAAUAUAAAUUAUAAAAUAGGGUGGGUGUAAAAAAAAAUUUUAAAAGAAAAUUGCAUUCAAGUGUUUAAUUGAAUUUCUAUUUAAAAUAAGAAAUGAAUUAAUUUAACUUUGGUUAUUUUAAUGGUUUCAAUUGAAAAGGGGUUCUAUGCAUUUUGAGGGGCGGCGGAAGGCAUACCCUCUUUAACAUCUAGUUAAUGAUAGAAUGUUUGACAUCGGCCCAAAUCAUGCAUUUAUAUUAUAAAUUUUAAAAUUAGAAGAAGAAAAUGAAUAUUGGGUACUGAUUUUUAUAAAAGAAGUGUUAGACAUCUCAAUAUUUUAUAACAAAUAAUAUGCUUUUCAUCAACUAAAUGAUGGGAUAAUGUAAUUAAUUUAAUUAAAUUUUAUAUUAAAAAAAAUAAACCACUUAAUAUGUAGUCUAUUGUAAAUCUUUCAAUUAAUUAGUUUGUUAUUGUGAGAGAGAUUUUUGGCAAAAUGGCUUUACUAUUUUAUUAUUCAAUUGAUGAUCCUAAUUGACUUUAAUACGUCCACCAAAUUACCUGGCAAGAUUUGAGAGCACCUUGCAUGCAGCCAUAAGCUCAAAACAGUAGUGAUAUUUUGGUGGACAUAAUAGUGACAGUGUAUGGUUGAUUAAAUUAACCUUCAGAAUUCAAGAAGUGUUUCCAUUAAACAUCCACUUACUUGAGUUUUACUCAAGAAGUGCUCAAACAGAUCAUAAGAGAGUCUAAAUUCUUGAAUCUUAUCAAAUUAUAUAAUUAUUUAAUUAAAUAUUUAAUUUUAAAAAAACUAUUAAAUAAAAAAAAAUUUUUUAUGACUUUAUCCGAAUAGGAAAAGAUCUUAAUGGAGAGUAAAUAUUAUAUUAUAAAAAUAUCACUAAUAAAUAUACUUAUUUUCUAAACUGUAAAAUUUAAUCUUUUUAUUCGUUUUGAUUUAUAAAUACAUAAAUGUCAAAUUGUAAAAUUUAAUCUUUUUAUUCGUUUUGAUUUAUAAAUACAUAAAUGUCAAAUUGUAAAAUUUAAUCUUUUUAUUCGUUUUGAUUUAUAAAUACAUAAAUGUCAAAUUGUAAAAUUUAAUCUUUUUAUUCGUUUUGAUUUAUAAAUACAUAAAUGUCAAAUUGUAAAAUUUAAUCUUUUUAUUCGUUUUGAUUUAUAAAUACAUAAAUGUCAAAUUGUAAAAUUUAAUCUUUUUAUUCGUUUUGAUUUAUAAAUACAUAAAUGUCAAAUUGUAAAAUUUAAUCUUUUUAUUCGUUUUGAUUUAUAAAUACAUAAAUGUCAAAUUGUAAAAUUUAAUCUUUUUAUUCGUUUUGAUUUAUAAAUACAUAAAUGUCAAAUUGUAAAAUUUAAUCUUUUUAUUCGUUUUGAUUUAUAAAUACAUAAAUGUCAAAUAAACAUAUUUAAAAUAUGUUUCAUUUAUAAAAUCAAACAAAAUGCCAUUUACAUUUCGACAUGACAAUAUUAAAAAAAAAAGACAAAUAUGUCAUUCAAAUUUUUAUAUUGAGACCCAUUCAAACUUCAGACAAGAGAAUAAAUAAGUCUUCACUAUCAUCAUUUUGAUUUUAAUUCGUGACACAACCAAAUUAUAUAUGAAAUCAAACUAAUGAUAGUAAUACUAUCGACAAAUAAGAAAGAUUGAAGAAUCAAAUUCGUUUACGUAACAUGAGCAACUGAUUUACGGUAGAGACUUGUCAGAGUGUUAUUAAGAUUGCAUGGGCCAGCUGUUUGGGCCAGCCCACAAGAUCUCAUGGUUCCAUUUAUCGUUUGCAUGUUUUAUUAUUUUAUAGACUCCAUUCAAGUUUUGAAAAUUUUAAUCAAUAAAUUUGAUAUUAAAUUUGUUUAUUUAUUUUAAUUGAAGCAUCACACACCCUGACCCGGUUGUUAAGAUAAGAGUGGGUGGGUUAGAUUAAUUGGAGAGAAAACGACAAGUGGGAGAUUGAUGGAGUGGGUGUUUCUUAUUUCUUCUAAUUCUCACCUAAUAGUCCCUAGGAUUAUGAUUUUAUUCUAAUUUAAGAAAAAAUAAUUAAUCAGUCAUAAAAGAAAAAAGAUUGCAGAAAUUUGAUGGGUGCUUUAUUUUUUAAAUUCACAGUACUUUCAAAAACAUAGUUUAUCAAAUACGUUUUGUACAAUUGAUUAUUUUUAUUUCGAAAACAAAUUAUUUUAUAAGUUAAAGGUAUGAGUUCGAACUUGUUGAAUGAGUAUGAGAAAAUUAGGUUAUUAUUAUUAUGGUGCUGAUAAUUACAAAAAAACACAUAUUUUAUAAGUUGCAACAAUUCUUUUAAACUGGCACUUACCAGAUUUUACUGAAAUAGGAUUAAUUGGUAAUAUUAUAACUUUUAAAAUAGUUACCGUCAGCUGUGUUGCAAUAUAAUCAAUCGUGAAGAGUAUUGAUUAAGUGUUUAGUAAAUAUAAUUGUUAAAGUAUUGUUAGAAUACAAAUGACUAAAAUAGAUAUAGUAUCAAGGAAAAUAUACUUCAACACAUAUGCAAACAUGUAUGUUUAAUACUUUUUUUCUCGAAUUAAUUCUUCUUCAUCGUUGUCGUCGUUGUCAUAAUAAUAAUAAUAAUAAAAAAACCUUCUUUCAUCAAAUAACAUUAAAUUUUGUGUAAUCAAAGUUCAAAGAUAUGGUCCUUUGAAAAUGAUAAGAAAGUAUAUUGAUAAAACUCAUCUUAAAUUUUAUCGAAAAUUUGUAAAUAAAAGAUAAGGUAUCAAAACACAUACUAACCUAAGCGGCAAUCUUGCAGUGAUGAUAUUUGAAGUAUUAGAGAAGUUUUGAUGAAAUGGAAAAUAGGAAGAAGAAGAAUUGGGGUAAAGAGCACGGGUAAAGAUAAAAUAAAUCAAAUUAAUGAUAAUGAUCUUAAUUUUUAUUAUUCUAUUUUUUAAAUAAUCAAAGAUAAUUUUGGAUUUAUAUGAAAUAUGUAAGGAUGUAUGUGAAAUUAUAUCAAAUAAAAAUACGUCUCAAAUUUAAGAAGCUACUAUUUUCCUCCUUUUCAAAACUAAUCUAAAAAUGAGGUAAUUUUGUUGAAAUAAUUUAAAAAAUAUAAUAAAUAUUAAAAUUAAUUUUUAUUUUUUUUAAAAAAUAACUAUUGACUCUCCCAACAACAAUCCUAAAUGGACUCCUUACCUAAGGGCUCCGUUUAAUAAAAUUUGAUUCCAUAACCAUUUUAUUGUGAUGGGGUUGGUUGGUAUCAAACUUUUGCUUUAUACUUUUUGUGUUAAAAGUAUUUUAUGUGUCAACAUCACUAUUUUAUUUAUCCGUGAAAUAAAUAGUGGAUAAAUUCAAUAUUUUUUUAUGUAAAACUUUAUAACUCAUAAAAUCAUAUAUUUAUCCCUUCCUAAGAUAUAUAAAAAAAUCCUUUUGCACAAUACUUUAGAAAGUGUAGCAUUACUCGAACUAAAUUUAAGUGUAGUAGCACCAAAACGAAUUUAAUUGGUUGCUUAUAAUAAAUAUAUGUAGUUAAAACAGUCACAGUUUUAACAAAUGUUUUAUCUAAUCAUAAAACUUUCUAUUGUUGUAUUUUUUUAAAUUUUGUUUUCAAAAAAUUAAAUUAAGAAAUAGGCUGCGGAAAAUUUGUGAUGUUUUAAAAUGGUUAAAAGGUAAUUUUACCCAAAAGAAGGAAAAAGGUAAAAGAAAGAGCUCCAAGCAUAAUUGUUUGUAACAAGAAAGAAUCCCAAAUUACUGGUACUGAGAGUAGAAGCAGAGUCCAAAAAAAGAACAGCGACGAUGGAGUUCCCCUUCGGCCACCACCACCGUCGCGAUCCUGAAGAAGAUGAACGACGAGAACGCCCGCCACCUUACUUCGGCCAGCCUCCGCCGCCGCCGCAGCCGUAUUAUCAAGAAAACGAGUAUGCUGCACCCCCCCCACCGCGCCCUGUGCCGCCACCAUACUAUCAAGAACCUGAAUUUUCAUUGCCACCACCUCCGCCCCGGCCGUAUCAUCAAGAAUCACAUGUGAGUCACGUGCAUCACUCCACUGAUCGGCCCGAAGGAUUCGGCUCUUUCAACUAUCAGCAACCACCACCACCAGAGCCAACACACGUGCGCCACGUGUAUCACGCUAGUCAUGAUAAACCAGAAGGACUCGGUUCUUUCAACUACCAGCAAUCGCCGCCGCCGCCACCAGCAGCAGCGUCGGGAGCGGUACAUGUGAGCCAUGUUUCUCAUGAGAAAACUGAGACUGGCCAUCACCAUUCUUUUCUGCAUCAUCACUCUCACUCUGGCUCUGGCCCUGCCCCUUUCCCUGCUCUCUCUGGGAAGCCUACUGUUAGAUUCUUUUGUAAGGCCGAGCCUAAUUUCUCGCUCACCAUUAGAAAUGGGAAGGUGGUUCUUGCUCCAUCUGAUCCCUCCGAUCAGUUUCAGGUGAGUAUUUAUUUUCUAUUUUGUUUACCCGUUUACAGUUGUUGUUGCGCUGCUCUAAGUAUUUAACUUGAUCUGGGUUCUGUUGUUUCCUUUUUGAAAAAGUUAAAGAUUAUUUUUUCCCCCAAGAAAUAUUGAAUAUUGUAGAUGAUUUUAUUAUAUUAUUGCCCACUUGUGUUUUAAUAAUAAUUUCACUUAAAUCUGCCAUUAGUGCUACGGACUUUUUUUUCCCCCUCUGUUUUCAGGGUUUCUUGCCUCUUAGUCUUAUGUGUUUAUUGCUUUGGUUUUUGUUGUUGUUGCAGCACUGGUACAAGGAUGAGAGGCUCAGCACUCGAGUGAAGGAUGAGGAGGGCUUUCCCUGCUUUGCUCUCGUUAACAAAGUUACUGGUCAGGCUGUGAAGCACUCCAUUGGAGCCACUCAUCCUGUAAGGAUUCUAUGAAAUUUUUUGAGUGAUUGGAAGUUUAUUUGAUGUAAAAUUUCAAGCAUUAUGUCUUUCUUUGUUGUUAAUUUCACAUACUGAUAUAAAUCAACAUGUAUUGACUCAAAUGUCGCUGCUGCUGCUAAUUUGGUUUUGUUUGAAAAUUAGCAUGUUCUUCUGAAUCUGUAUUUUAAUAUUAGGAUGCAGCAAUUUGUUGCAUCCAGGCAUAUUGUUUAUGACCUAUGGGCAAUAUCUACUGGCAAAGAAUCCAAACAACUUACAUGACCGAAAUGUAAGAUGUUAGUUCUGGUAUGCCGGUGAAGAGAAGGCUGAAUAAGGGUAACAUUUAGACUAUAAUGGAAGGCUAUCUCUGUGGAAUUCACGCCCACUCAAUGACUUGCUAACGAGUUAAAUUAAACUUUGCAUUUUCGAGCUCAUUUGAGGAACAAGGAUAUUUCCAAUUCAAUACUACAUGUAACUGGAAUAGAUAUGCAUCUUAAUGGCAAAUUUUGCAUGUUGGUUUCACGUUUUAGACAUGGUUACCUUCUUGUCAAUCAGGAUUUUUCCCUUCAUUUAUUUGAUAUUCGAUUUAGUUUCUUUUAAUUAUAUAUAAUGUUAAUAUGCCAACAUAAAACUUUGAUAAUAUGUCUGCAGGUGCAGCUGAUACCUUAUAAUCCAGAUGUUCUGGAUGAGUCUGUACUGUGGACAGAGAGCAAGGACAUAGGGGAUGGUUACAGAGCUGUAAGAAUGGUCAAUAACAUUCGCCUGAAUGUAGAUGCUUUUCAUGGUGAUAAGAAAUCUGGUGGUGUCCAUGAUGGCACCACCAUUGUGCUUUGGGAAUGGAACAAGGGAGAUAACCAGCGAUGGAGGAUUGUCCCCUACUGUAAGUCUUUCAUCAGUCGAAACACGAAGAAAUAUAGAAUUCCUACCAUAUCUUUCUUAUUUUCAGGUUGCAUCAUUUGAUACUUUUAAAACCAAUAAUGGAAUUUCAAUAUAAAUUAGUCUAGGUAUAUGUAGUUUGGGAAGAUGAAGCCUUACUUUCUCUGCUUCGAGUGUCCCAUCAACUCAUAGAACUGUUCUUAAUUCUUUUUUGGUCUUUUGAUGGUUAUAUGUGCAGGAUUGUGGCAUCGGUACUGUCAUCUAUUGUAGCUGUAUUGUAUUGAGCUUGCAGAAGUAUAUGUGAGGACUGAGGAGGAUUGUUUUCCAUUCUCCAUUGAGUGGUUUGUGUUUUGUGUUCAUGAUGAUUUUCAUUGAUACCUGUUGAGGCACACUGCUUAUUCUCGCUGUGGUUCGUGUAUUCUGUCUAUUGAGUGAGCGUCUUGAUGUGUCAUUAAAACUCAAUUAACUACUGUUACUUUCAUUAUUCAUUAUCUAUGGUGUGGAAUUAUAAUGAAUGCGUAUGAUAAGUGAUACCAAUCCACUAAUGGAUUAAGUCCAGGUGUCCCCAUGUCAUUUUCAUGGCCAUCCAUAGCAUGCACUGAAUUCGGGUCAUGAUGACAUGUGUUUUUCUUUUAAAAGCUGUAAUGUCAUUGAUUACGAUAAAUGAUGUGUAUACAGAAAUAUGGGACGUAGUAUUGUCGAAUGACUGUACUACAAGUCUACGAAGAUUUUUUAUCUACAAGUCUACAUAGUUUUUUUAUUCUUCCUUAGCUAGCAAAUGAUUUGGCAAGGUUGUGACUUGUGGGUUCAAGUUGAGAUUUAUAAAAAGAAAAGGUCAGAUGGAAGCUAAAUUUACUCUUGUUGAUUUACAUGAAGCCACUGCAAUCUCUUGGUUCCGGCUCACCUCUUUCUCUCCGGAGAAUAAUCUUGAACUAGUGAAGAUUUCAGAAAUCAAACAUUUCUCUAUAAUAAUCAUCUAGUAGUAGUACUCUUUAAAAAGAAUAAAAAAAAAAAAAAACUACAGUGGAUUACAACUGAGGCUAGAGGACUUAAACAAAUACAGACAUGAUGAUGAUGAUGUCAAAAGAUCAAACCAAUCCCACGGCAGCAGCCACCCUCCCUACGACCAGUCACCAUCGUCGUACCAUGAAGACAGUGGGUCCACCCCUCUCAAUAUGGAGGAGGGGCACCAACCCACCCCCAUUCAGUGGGCCAUGGGACUACUCGUCACGGAUACAACUCUAGUAGAGGAUACAGUGUAACUCUACUAGAGCCAUGAUAGCCGCGGAUAUAGUGUAACACCAACGUCGCAUGGGACCCACGAUAGUGGCAAAUACAGUGUAGGACUCAUGAUGUCGCAUGGAACCCAUUGUCGUGGCGGGUACAAUGGAGGACCGACAUUGAAUGGGACACGCGGCGGCAGCGGAUACAACGCAGCACCGAUCGCAUGAGACCCCAUGGUAGCAAUUAUGGAAAUAAUCAACCUAAACACAAUAACACCUCAUCUAAUAAAACCAACUUGUAAGAUCUUUUGCAACAAAGAUCCCUGCUGAUUCAUCGGAUAUGACCCAGUUUGUUUAUUAAUUAAGAAUGACGAUUUUAUUUCACUGCAUCAGUUUUCAUAGCAAGGUCCUGAGUUAAAACGUUACUCUUCAACAGCAUUGGUACAAAGAUCAGAGGUGCAGCACAGAAGUAAAGGAUUCAGAAGGCUGCCCCCGCGUUGCUAUGGUUAACAAAGCUACUAAUUUGGCCAUGAAGCACGGCAAAGGCCCCACAGAACCCGUAAGAUCACUUCAUAGCAUCUCUAAGUGACUUCAACUAAAAAGUCGAAAUUGAAGUAAAUUAAUUCAUUUAAGGAGUUCCAAAUUCGUUUGUGCGUGCAGGUCAGGCUGGAGCCAUAUGAUCCAAGCGAUGAAAAGGAUGUGACAUUACUGUGGACACAGAGCCAGGACUUUGGGGAUGGUUACAGAACAAUAAAGAUGGGACUGAUGGCAGUGGCGGAUACAAUGCACCACCUACAUCGCAUGGAAUCCGCAGUGGAUAUCGCAUGUUAGCCGCGGUCGCGGUGGAUACAGUGCACCACUAGUGUCGCAUGGGACUCACGACAGUGGCAAAUACAGUGGAAAACCAACUUCGCAUGCGGCCUACGACGACUUCUGAUAUAGUGCAGCACCGACGCCUCAUGGGACCCACGAUAGUUGAAAAUACAGUGUAGGACCGAUGUCGCAUGGGACCCAUUGUUGUUGUGGAUACAAAGCAGGACCGACAUUCGAGGGGACACGCGGCGGCAGCGGAUACAAUGCAGCACCGAUGUCGCAUGGGACCCACGGUAGCAGUCGUGGAAAUAAUCAACCUGAGCACAAUGACACCUCAUCUAAUAAACCAACUUGUAAGAUCUUUUGCAAGAAAGAGCCCUGGUUUCUCUCUAGGUGGUAAAGACAAGGCUGUGAUUCUCGUACCUGCUGAUUCAUCAGAUAUGAGUGACCCAGUUUGUUUGCUCAUUAAGAAUUAAGGGCCGUUUUAUUUCACUCCAUCACAUUAAUCUUUAGAGCUCAGGUUACAUAAUUGAAUUAUAACGUUACUCGCCUGCGGCAGUGGUACAAAGAUGAGAGGUAGUACAGCACAAAAAUAAAGGAUUCAGAGUGCUGUCCCUGCUUUGCUCUGGUUAACAAAGCUCCUAAUAUGGCCAUGAAGCACGGCAAAGGCCCCACAGAACCUGUAAGAUCACUUCAUAACUCACAACAUCUCUAAUUGACUUAAUUAAAAAGUCGAAAUUAAAGUAAUUAGUUCAUUUAAGGAGUGCCAAAUUCGCGGGUGCAUGCAGGUGUGGCUGGAGCCGUAUGAUCCAAGUGAUGGAAACUGGAAAGGAUGUGACGUUACUUGUGGACACAAAGCGAGGACUUUGGGGAUUGUUACAGAACAAUAAAGAUGGUGAUUGGUGAAUAAUAUUAAGCUCAAUGCCGAUGCUUUUCAUGGGGACCAACGUAUUGAAGAUGGCACUAAGAUUGUUUUGUGGGAGUGGACCUACCGGCUUUGGAAAAUCAUCAGCCACCUUUAAAGGAUUUUUGGAAAUUUCGUACACAAAAACAAUUCCUUCUUUUUUUUCUUUUUUUUCUUUUGCGCUUGAAACCUUGUAACUUCACAAUUUUGCUUUAAACCUUGUAACUUCUAAAAGUAAUGAAACACUAACACAUCAAAAUAUUUGAAGGUCAGAGGAACUGAGAAACGGGAAGAUAAGCGAAGAAACCAUUUUUUGGAAUCUUGAUUUUUUUUUCAUAUGGUUGUAUAAAUAUAAUAUGCUCACAAUAUAAAAGGCUGAAUCCAAGGCCCAGAAGAGAAAUGAUAUACGGAGUUGUGGACUGGAUGGAACAGUUGAUUUAGAACAGAAAGAGCCUUGGCCCUUUUACAAAUCAGCACCAGCCGGCUACAUGCAAGGACCGGAGCUUUUAACACCCUCCUAAAAUUCUUAUUACACCCAUAAUAGUAAAAUCUCAUAAGUUUGCAAAAAUAAAUAUUUUUAACUAGAAUUUAAAAUGAAAUUUCAUUCAAGUGUUUAAUUGAAUUUCUAUUUAAAAUAAGAAAUGAAUUAAUUUAACUUUGGUUAUUUUAAUGGUUUCAAUUGAAAAGGGGUUCUAUGAAUUUUGAGGGGCGGCGGAAGGCAUACCCUCUUUAACAUCUAGUUAAUGAUAGAAUGUUUGACAUCGGCCCAAAUCAUGCAUUUAUAUUAUAAAUUUUAAAAUUAGAAGAAGAAAAUGAAUAUUGGGUACUGAUUUUCAUAAAAGAAGUAUUAGACAUCUCAAUAUUUUAUAAACAAAUAAUAUGCUUUUCAUCAACUAAAUGAUGGGAUAAUGUAAUUAAUUUAAUUAAAUUUUAUAUUAAAAAAAAUAAACCACUUAAUAUGUAGUCUAUUGUAAAUCUUUCAAUUAAUUAGUUUGUUAUUGUGAGAGAGAUUUUUGGCAAAAUGGCUUUACUAUUUUAUUAUUCAAUUGAUGAUCCUAAUUGACUUUACGAGCUGGCCAACUUGUCGAAUCCAUCGCCAUCGCAACAGGAUUUGGUCUUGACACAAAGUGGUGACAUUUAUAUGACAUAUAUAGGUUAUCAAUUAAGUCUUCUAUCACGUAAAGUAAGUACCAAAAUAACUUUAGUCACGGAACAAUAUCUUGUUGGGAUGAGUUUUUAUUCUAUGACAUUUAUAUAUGUUAUGACUACAUCAUAAUCUCAGCUUUUAUUUAAACAAAUACAUGACAUUGAUCGUUGAUAAUUUAUAAUCAAGAGAACUUUAGUCCAGCUAUUACAAUAAUCAUAAUUACUAAAAAAAAAUCAACAUUUAAUAAUAAACAUUUGACAUUGUAAGGGAUAUUUAAUUUAACAAUCGUUCACUGGGUUGUCAUUCCAUGCUCAUUAGGGUAUAUAAUUGAUUCCUUUUGUCUCAUACUCAAUGAGCUGGCCAAAUUGCCUAAUCCGUCUCUAUCACCUGGAACAAUUUUUGGUUUUAACAAGCAGUGUUGACAUAAUGUUGGCAUUUAUACGAUCUAUGGUUUCGUCCGAGUCUUUUUCUCUCUAAAUUGUAAUUACCAAAAAUAACCCAACACAUAGAUUUGCAAUUCUGAUUCACGGAACCAUAUUUGUGGGAAGAGUUUUUCGUUACAUUAAACAUCACAAUUAUUAAGUAAUUAUAACAAUUAAUCAACUUAUUGUAGAAACAAAUCUAUUUGCUUUCAUAACUAUUAAUGCUUAGGUCUCACUUCCAUGCCCUCAACUAUAAUCCCACCUUUUAGUUGAUACCCUUUCACCUCCUUCAAGCUCAUUUUCACCUCAUCAUCAUCACACACACCAUUAAAGAAUUUUCCAAGCUCGAUUUCCACCCACCCAUCUUCUUUUUCACAUGGGAUUUGUUCAUUUUCGCCGCCUUUAUGUGUCAACUUUGAUGUCACCAUCAUUUCCAUGCCAUCCACUAGCAC